rnacentral:rRNA from 1 species
CCUACGGGUGGCAGCAGUCGAGAAUUUUUCACAAUGGGGGAAACCCUGAUGGAGCGACGCCGCGUGGAGGAUGAAGGUUUUCGGAUUGUAAACUCCUGUCACUACAGAACUGGUAUGUGGAGAGGAAGGGACGGCUAACUCUGUGCCAGCAGCCGCGGUAAUACAGAGGUCCCGAGCGUUGUUCGGAUUCAUUGGGCGUAAAGGGUGUGUAGGAGGUUAGGUAAGUCAGGCGUGAAAUCUCACCGCUUAACGGUGAAACUGCGUUUGAUACUGCUUGACUAGAGGAUCGGAGGGGGAAGCGGAAUUCUUGGUGUAGCAGUGAAAUGCGUAGAUAUCAAGAGGAACACCGGUGGCGUAGGCGGCUUCCUGGAGUUCCUGACUCUGAAACACGAAAGCUAGGGGAGCAAACGGGAUUAGAUACCCUUGUAGUC